rnacentral:rRNA from 1 species
AGUGAACGCUGGCGGUAGGCCUAACACAUGCAAGUCGAACGGCAGCACAGUAAGAGCUUGCUCUUACGGGUGGCGAGUGGCGGACGGGUGAGGAAUACAUCGGAAUCUACUUUUUCGUGGGGGAUGACGUAGGGAAACUUACGCUAAUACCGCAUACGACCUACGGGUGAAAGCAGGGGAUCUUCGGACCUUGCGCGAUUGAAUGAGCCGAUGUCGGAUUAGCUAGUUGGCGGGGUAAAGGCCCACCAAGGCGACGAUCCGUAGCUGGUCUGAGAGGAUGAUCAGCCGCACUGGAACUGAGACACGGUCCAGACUCCUACGGGAGGCAGCAGUGGGGAAUAUUGGACAAUGGGCGCAAGCCUGAUCCAGCCAUACCGCGUGGGUGAAGAAGGCCUUCGGGUUGUAAAGCCCUUUUGUUGGGAAAGAAAAGCAGCAGGUUAAUACCCCGCUGUUCUGACGGUACCCAAAGAAUAAGCACCGGCUAACUUCGUG